UCCUUUCUGGAAGAAGCAAGCAUAAACCAGCAGAGCAGGUUCGUGGCAGUGAGGCGCAGCUGCGUGGAGCAGAGCAUGUUUGGAUCUGGGAUUAGUGCACUUGUAGCUGAACAGACAGACCACUUGAGCGGCCUCACGUGCGCCUGCUCCAGAGGACAGCACUGCAGUUCUCAGUCACAGGAGGACACGGAAUCUGAUACCCCAGGGUAGAACAAAGCCCGGUUGGAAAGAAAAGAUGCUUUUGUACCAGAAAUGUUUCUAAGCAACAGCUUACUUAACUACUACAAUGUCCCUAAUCAUUCCGCUUUGCUCACCUUUAGAAACUGAUAAACUCGUCAGAUUUCCGUAAUGAAAGAUGCAACAUAUGCAAAUGAGUGUCUCAGCAUUUAGCUCCUGCCACCACACACUCAUUCCAGCUUCAUCUCCAUCAGUCUCCCCUGUGUUUCAGUCCUACCAAAAUCCUGCCUUGGUGUUCCCUAGACUUCCAUAGUUCCAUGCAUCUGCCCUUGAAUUUGUGAUGUAUUUAAAAAGAUGCAUUAAAAACCAUCCCGCUUCAACCAUCUUUCAAAUGAUAAAUGAUUAAAUGCUAAGCGCAGUUUGGUGACAGUGAUUUAUGCCUUACUCCUGACUUCAGUUAGAAUGUCUGAGAAAUUCAGUUAAGAUGACACCAAAGAAUUUUGUGAUCAACACUUGAUGAGUACUUUGCAUCUUUAGAUUAAUUUUGUGAUUCUCCUGGCAAUUUCAGGGUAAGGCUUUGCUGGAUCCUGGCCAUAUGCUAAUAAUAGAGGAUACAAAACAGAAGGUAUUGUGUCAGCAAGGAUCAGCCAUGAAAAAGCAGAUUAGAUACAGAGGCAUGCACACACAGGGGAAGACAGAUGCCGUGUAAGGAUGGUCUACAAGCCAAGGAAUCAAAGACCACCUGGGGCUACCAACAAGAAAAGAACUGAACUGCUGAGACCUGGUUUGGAUUUUCAGUCUCCAGAACUGUGAUAAAAUAAGUUCCUGUCCUUUAAAGUCACUCACUUGUGGUAUUUGUGUUACAGCAGCGCCAGCAGAAAAAUGGGUGUGUGACCAGAAUGCACAAUAUAUAAUUAGAUUGGAAGAUGGGAUGCUGUUAUUCCAAAGCUGCAGCCAGGCGCCAGAGGGCAAGAACAAGAGGAGGAAUGGGUAAUUGCUGGAGUCCUCUGUCUUCUAGUCCUGUUUAUCUAUGUGACCUUGGACAAAUUGUCUCACCUCUUCAGUCUGCAGUUUCUUCCCUUGUGAAACCAAGGGGUUGGAUUGAAUUGUCUGUGAGGUCCCUUCUGAAGAAGUCAUUGAAUUUGUUGAAGCUGGUGGAAAUCUCUUGCUAUGGCUGCAUGGGAUUGGCUCUCCAAGGGCACAAAGGUCAGGGAAGGAAGUUUCGGCUGAGCAUGCUCGGGGCAGUGGCCUCUUGACUCUGGACUUAGUGAGCACCAUGAGAUGACUUCAUCAGCCUGUGUUUGACUUUCCUCUGCUGCAAGUGGGAGUAGAGAUCACCACAGGCUCUUUCGGAGCUCAAACUCGGGAAUCUGACACACCUAGGUUUGAAACCCCACCAUGCUGUGUUUGGGUUCGGUGCAAGUUUACUUAAUCUAGGGCAAGUUUACUUAAUUGGUCUAAGCCUCAGUUUCCUCAUAUGUUAGGUGCCAUUGGGUCAGCUCUGAGCUCUGACUAUGACAACCUUACAUAUAACAAGAACAAAAUGGUGCACUGUCCUGCGUUAUCCUCCCGAUCGUAGGUAAGCUGGAGCGCAUCGUAGCGGCUGCUGUGUAGUGCCCUACAACCCGGGGGUUCGUCUUCUGGCACUAUACGGGACAAUAUUCGGUGGUGAUCCAUGGGGUUUUCACUGGCUAAUCUUCAGAAGCAGAUCACCAGGACCUUCUUCUUAGCCUGGAAGUUCCCCUGAAACCUAUGCACCGUGGGUGGCUCUGCUGGCAUUUGAGAUACUGGUGGUAUAACUUAUAGUGUCCUAACAAUACACAAGCCACUACGGUACCACCAUAGUGCAGCAAACUGACAGGCGGGUGGUGGUUCUUCAUGUGUAAAGAUGUAUGACAAUAACAAGGUUGCUGUGGUACUUUAAUAUGAACAGCAAGCACUUCUAUUGCUCUCAGUAAGUACUAGGCACUGUUCUAAAUGCUUUACACAUACUACUAACUCAAUGAAUCCUUACAACAACCCUAUGAGAUGGAUACGAUUAUUAUCCCCACUCUGCAGAUGAGGAACCUCCAGCGUGGAGAAGUAAGAAAUUUUCCCAAGGUUCCGUGUAUAGUAAACGAAGACCUGAAAUUCCUAUUAAAGCAAUGUGCACCCAGAGUCCUUUCCUAAGUACCAGGCUAUGCACAAAUAAGACUGAAUACAUAUGAUUCUGGGACACAGAAGCUGUUCAAUAAAUUCUAUAUAAACCAUUAUUAAUUUGGAAACCAUGGUGGCAUAGUGGUUAAGUGCUACAGCUGCUAACCAAAAGGUUGACAGUUUGAAUCCACCAGGCCCUCCUUGGAAACUCUAUGGGGCAGUUCUACUCUCAGUCACUGUGAGUCAGAAUCGACUCGACGCAAUGGAUUUAUUAUGAAUCCGGAGCCCUGGAGGCACAGUAAUUAAGGGUUUGACUGCUAACCCAAAGGUCAGUUGUUGGAAUCCACCAGUCAUUCCUUGGAAAACACAGUUCUACCGUGUCUUAUAUAUGAGUCGGAAUCGAUUUGAUGGUAGUGGGUUUGGGUUUUUUUUUUAUUAUUAUUAAUCCAAAUAUUGUUAUGUUUAAUGGCUCUAGCUUUCAUGGCUUCCAUGAAGCACUCUAGAAACGGAGUGAGCCUUUAGCCAUUUUUUGUGAGAGUAUGACUUUUUUUUUCACAUUUUAAGUUUGGGUGAGGAUGUUGUUAGGUGCCGCCGAGUCAGCUCUGACUCACAGCGACCCUACCUACAACAGAACGAAACACUGCCAGUCCAGCGCAAACCUCACAAUUGUUGCUAUGCUUGAGCCCAUUGUUGCAGCCACUGUGUCUAAAUUCAGCUCCUCUGUCCUUUCAACUGAGCUUAUUAAGCCUUAAUAAUUUCACCAUGUCUUACAGUUUGCAUUUUACAUUGUACUUAACUCCAUCCAAUUAAUCGCAUCUCCUCUUAGGCUUCUUUAGGCUAAAGGGAGUUAACAUAUGUAAAAUAGGCAAGCGCUUGGCACUAAGUAUGCUGGUAUAAAAGGAAAGUAUAUACGGAGGGAGGUCCUUGGUGGUGCAAAUGGUUUGCACUUGGUUACAAACAUGAAGGUUGGUGGCCUGAACCUACCCAGCGGCAUCGUGGAAGAAAGGUCUGGUGAUAUGCCAAGAAAACCCUGUGGAGCAGUUCUACUCUGUAACACAUAGGGUCCCCGUGAGUCAGAGUCUACUGAACAGCAACGGGAUUGGUUUGGUUGGUUUUAUAUAUGGAGGACCCUGAAGGUAUGAAUAUGAUUUCGUCUGAUCCUCUACUUUGAUCCUUCCCUGUAGAGACGCAUUUGUUCCAGGUUGCCUGGGAUCAACUGAAGCAAUGAAAAUAUAAGUGUUUCCAACUGCCAGACCCGUUGCUCCUUGAGGCCAGUGGG